GACGGUCCAAGUUGUAUUAGUACACGCUUUAGGUGUCUAUCAACACAUGUAAUACAUGUUUGUAUCGGGAUAAAACAACGGGCUGAGAUCUACUGUUUUGGUCCCAUUCCCAUCAUCGAGGGAGAUUCAUGGUUUCUUGCUUUGUCAAAUCCGAAAGAUACACCAAAAAGCAAAGAUGUAGUAACAUGAUCUAACUCGUAAAUCUACAGACACUAUUGAGAAAACAAAACAUGUAUAUUAACGUUGUUAGUUGAGGUUCACCAUUCUCUUUUACUGCGGAGCCAUCAAAGCUAGUACUGUUCGC
rnacentral:lncRNA from 1 species